AGCGAGCGCUGGCGGCAGGCCUAGCACAUGCAAGUCGAACGAACUCUUCGGAGUUAGUGGCGGACGGGUGAGUAACACGUGGGAACGUGCCUUUUGGUUCGGAAUAACUCAGGGAAACUUGUGCUAAUACCGAAUGUGCCCUUCGGGGGAAAGAUUUAUCGCCAUUAGAGCGGCCCGCGUCUGAUUAGCUAGUUGGUGAGGUAACGGCUCACCAAGGCGACGAUCAGUAGCUGGUCUGAGAGGAUGACCAGCCACACUGGGACUGAGACACGGCCCAGACUCCUACGGGAGGCAGCAGUGGGGAAUCUUGCGCAAUGGGCGAAAGCCUGACGCAGCCAUGCCGCGUGAAUGAUGAAGGUCUUAGGAUUGUAAAAUUCUUUCACCGGGGACGAUAAUGACGGUACCCGGAGAAGAAGCCCCGGCUAACUUCGUG
rnacentral:rRNA from 1 species